AGUUCCCUGCGUUGUUGGUGAUGGUUUCGGAGUUCGGUUGAGCCAACGCUAUACCCAAGCGAGCCGCGAUGUUUCGUGGUGUGCACGCCUCCGCGUGAGGUAGCCUGAAGCGAAACUGGUUGUAUCUAGAGCGGCUCCACCUGCUUUGAGCAGGUUCAUCCGACCUCCCCACACGGCAAAGCGGGGCUUUU
rnacentral:other from 1 species